rnacentral:rRNA from 1 species
GAUGAACGCUGGCGGCGUGCCUAAUACAUGCAAGUCGAGCGAACAGACGAGGAGCUUGCUCCUCUGACGUUAGCGGCGGACGGGUGAGUAACACGUGGAUAACCUACCUAUAAGACUGGGAUAACUUCGGGAAACCGGAGCUAAUACCGGAUAAUAUAUUGAACCGCAUGGUUCAAUAGUGAAAGACGGUUUGCUGUUACCUAUAGAUGGAUCCGCGCCGCAUUAGCUAGUUGGUAAGGUAACGGCUUACCAAGGCAACGAUGCGUAGCCGACCUGAGAGGGUGAUCGGCCACACUGGAACUGAGACACGGUCCAGACUCCUACGGGAGGCAGCAGUAGGGAAUCUUCCGCAAUGGGCGAAAGCCUGACGGAGCAACGCCGCGUGAGUGAUGAAGGUCUUCGGAUCGUAAAACUCUGUUAUUAGGGAAGAACAAAUGUGUAAGUAACUAUGCACGUCUUGACGGUACCUAAUCAGAAAGCCACGGCUAACUACGUG